CCCUUAGACGUUCUGGGCCGCACGCGCGCUACACUGAACAGUUCAACAAGUCUUAACCUUGGCCGAUAGGUCUGGGUAAUCUUUGAACGCUGUUCGUGAUUGGGAUAGACCUUUGCAAUUAUGGGUCUUCAACGAGGAAUUCCUAGUAAACGCAAGUCAUCAGCUUGCAUUGAUUACGUCCCUGCCCUUUGUACACACCGCCCGUCGCACCUACCGAUUGAAUGGUCCGGUGAAAUCUCGGGACGGCGGCUCGGUCGCUUGCGUCCGACUGCUGAAACUUGAUUAAACCAUAUCAUUUAGAGGAAGGUGAANUCGUANCA
rnacentral:rRNA from 1 species